rnacentral:pre_miRNA from 1 species
UGGAGGAACAACCGCAGUGGUGGGGCCAGCUCUGGAGCCCUGGAUUCAGCACUCGCAGGAACUACGGAGCUCUCCGUCUGCAGGGCCUGGAGGCUCCGGGGCGGU